rnacentral:rRNA from 1 species
UUCCCCUUCGGGGGACAAAGUGACAGGUGGUGCAUGGUUGUCGUCAGCUCGUGUCGUGAGAUGUUGGGUUAAGUCCCGCAACGAGCGCAACCCUUAAGCUUAGUUGCCAUCAUUAAGUUGGGCACUCUAAGUUGACUGCCGGUGACAAACCGGAGGAAGGUGGGGAUGACGUCAAAUCAUCAUGCCCCUUAUGAUUUGGGCUACACACGUGCUACAAUGGACAAUACAAAGGGCAGCGAAACCGCGAGGUCAAGCAAAUCCCAUAAAGUUGUUCUCAGUUCGGAUUGUAGUCUGCAACUCGACUACAUGAAGCUGGAAUCGCUAGUAAUCGUAGAUCAGCAUGCUACGGUGAAUACGUUCCCGGGUCUUGUACACACCGCCCGUCACACCACGAGAGUUUGUAACACCCGAAGCCGGU